rnacentral:rRNA from 1 species
UAACGGCGAGUGAACAGGGAAAAGCCCAAAUUUGUAAUCUGGCACUUUUUACAAGUGUCCGAGUUGUAAUUUGUAGAGCUGUUAUCCGUACUGGACCAUGUACAAGUCUGUUGAAAAGCAGCAUCAUUGAAGGUGAAAAUCCUGUAGAUGAUAUGGACUACCAGUAUAUUUGUGAUACGGUUUCUAAGAGUCGAGUUGUUUGGGAAUGCAGCUCAAAGUGGGUGGUAAAUUCCAUCUAAGGCUAAAUAUAAGUGAGAGACCGAUAGCAAACAAGUACCGUGAGGGAAAGAUGAAAAGAACUUUGAAAAUAGAGUUAACAGUACGUGAAAUUGCUGAAAGGGAAACGUUUGAAGUUAGUUUUGUAUUCGUUGGAUCAGCUUCGCAAGGAGUGUAUUCUGAUGAUAAGCAAGUCAACAUCAGUCUAUGAGUGUUGGAUAAGGGUUUUGAGAAUGUAGCAAUUUAAUUGUGUUAUAGCUUGAGACUUGGAUACGAUGCUUUGGAUUGAGGAACGCGUAGUAAGCUUUGAGCGGAUUCGAAAGGAUCUCCUUACUAUGGAUGUUGGAGAAAUAACUUUAAGCGACCCGUCUU